rfam:Ornithorhynchus anatinus chromosome X5, whole genome shotgun sequence.
CCCCUCUCAGGGUCACACCUGGGGAGUUUCCAGUAUUCUACAAGUCUUGGUUAUGGGAGGGAGAGUCAAGCCGAGGCAUACCCAUUCCAUUCCUAGCUUGGGCAGUGGCUAGCGAGUGGAAGGCAAUCUGCUACAAGG